rnacentral:rRNA from 1 species
GACGGAGGAUGCAAGUGUUAUCCGGAAUCACUGGGCGUAAAGCGUCUGUAGGUGGUCAAAUAAGUCAACUGUUAAAUCUUGAGGCUCAACCUCAAAAUCGCAGUCGAAACUAUUAAACUAGAGUAUAGUAGGGGUAAAGGGAAUUUCCAGUGGAGCGGUGAAAUGCGUAGAGAUUGGAAAGAACACCGAUGGCGAAGGCACUUUACUGGGCUAUUACUAACACUCAGAGACGAAAGCUAGGGUAGCAAAUGGG